AGAGUUUGAUCCUGGCUCAGAAUCAACGCUGGCGGCGCGCUUAACACAUGCAAGUCGCACGAGAAAGCGGGAGCAAUCCCGCAAGUACAGUGGCGUACGGGUGAGUAACACGUGGGUGAUCUACCCUUUAGUGGGGAAUAACGCUGGGAAACCGGCGCUAAUACCGCAUAAGCUCGAGAGAGGAAAGCAGCAAUGCGCUGAAGGAGGAGCCCGCGGCCGAUUAGCUAGUUGGUAGGGUAAAAGCCUACCAAGGCAGAGAUCGGUAGCCGGCCUGAGAGGGCACACGGCCACACUGGCACUGAAACACGGGCCAGACUCCUACGGGAGGCAGCAGUGGGGAAUCUUGCACAAUGGGGGAAACCCUGAUGCAGCGACGCCGCGUGAGCGAUGAAGCCCUUCGGGGUGUAAAGCUCUUUCGUCAGGGACGAUAAUGACGGUACCUGGAGAAGCAGCUGCGGCUAACUACAUGCCAGCAGCCGCGGUAAUACGUAGGCAGCGAGCGUUGUUCGGAGUUACUGGGCGUAAAGGGUGUGUAGGCGGUUUUCUAAGUUUGGUGUGAAAUCUCCCGGCUCAACCGGGAGGGUGCGCCGAAAACUGGGAGACUAGAGUGCGGGAUGGGAGAGUAGAAUUCCUGGUGUAGCGGUGAAAUGCGUAGAUAUCAGGAGGAAUACCGGUGGUGUAGACGGCUCUCUGGACCGCCACUGACGCUGAGACACGAAAGCGUGGGUAGCAAACAGGAUUAGAUACCCUGGUAGUCCACGCCCUAAACGAUGCAUAUUUGGUGUAGGUCAUUCAGUUGAUCUGUGCCGGAGCUAACGCGUUAAAUAUGCCGCCUGGGGAGUACAGUCGCAAGGCUGAAACUCAAGGAAUUGACGGGGGCCCGCACAAGCGGUGGAGCAUGUGGUUCAAUUCGACGCAACGCGAAGAACCUUACCUGGGCUCGAACGGCUGGUUAACGGCAUUGGAAACAGUGCUACCCCCGCAAGAG
rnacentral:rRNA from 1 species